rnacentral:SRP_RNA from 1 species
AGCCAGGCCCCACGCAAUGGAGCGGCGCUCAACCCCGUCAGGUCCGGAAGGAAGCAGCGGUCAGCGUUCGUUCUAUGUGCCGUGGGUACACCUGGCUUUU